GCGCCCGUAGCUCAGCUGGAUAGAGCAAUUGCCUUCUAAGCAAUAGGUCACAGGUUCGAAUCCUGUCGGGCGUA
rnacentral:tRNA from 1 species